rnacentral:lncRNA from 1 species
GAUGGGUUGUCAGGAUGUGGCCCCACCAGUCCAGGAGCAUCUGGGCUACGAUUAUUUAUUUUGUUCCUAGAAUUUCUCCAGCUUGGGCAUUGGGAGCUCUUGCAGACCCCGUCGACAUUCACUCCCUGAAGCCUCCAAAGCCACCGCCCUUCCCUGAGCUUCUGUUGGUCAGAGUGGAUGUGAACUGUGAGGCUGUAGAAUGAUUUGGGAAAAUUGUCUCUUCAUAUCUGUUAAAGCUAAAUGUACGCCUAGCCUAUGACUCAACAAUUCUGCUCCUAGGUAUAUACCCAAGAAAAAUCCACAAACAAGUUCACCAAAAGGCAUGUGCAAUACGCAGAGUGACACUAUUCAUGACAGUCUCCAAACUGGAAACAACCCACAUGUCCACCAAUGGAUAAACCGUGGUCUGGUCACACCAUCAAAUACAACAAUGGGAGUAAAUGAGAAGAAUGAAUGAAUCUCACAAACACAAUGUUGAGUGAAAGAAAUCAGACGCCAAAGAAUGCACACCAAGUGAUUCCAUUAAAAACAGAUCAUGGAGGCCGGGCGUGGCGGCUCACGCCUGUAAUCCCAGCACUUUGGGAGGCCGAGACGGGCGGAUCACGAGGUCAGGAGAUCAAGACCAUCCUGGCUAACACAGUGAAACCCCAUCUCUACUAAAAAUACAAAAAAAUCAGCCGGGCACAGUGGCGGGCGCCUGUAGUGGAGAUGGGCCUAGAUCCUAGAUGCUGAGAGGAGGCGUCCACACGGCUGAGGGAGGCCAGGCAGAGGCCAUAGUGUGGGUGAAGGCCAGAGAAUGGGCGAGCUCAGGGAACUGGGGGCCUCGGGGCAGAGCCCGGAGCAGAAUGAUGGGUGUGGGUGCAGGUGGGGCACAGGCUGGAGGUGUUGGGAAGAAGCCUGUCUGUGGUUGCUGGUGGCGUGCUCUCAUGCUCUGCAGAUGCCGGCCAACUGAUCCAAUCUGACAUUUCUUUGUUGAUCUUUUGCCUACUUGUUCUACUCAUAACGAAAGUGGGUCUCCUUAAUGAGCCUGAGGCCUGCUGCCUGCAAGUGCGGCCCCUCUGUGCUUUUGCUGGCUGUUUGUGAAGUCAGCCCUGCCUUUAAUAGGCCUGCUUGCAAUUAACAUGGAAUAUAAUACUGAAGAAUCUCUCUAUUCUGGAACUCCCAUAAUGUGUGCACAGGCAUAUCUUUUAUUAUUGUGCUUUGCUUUAUUGCACUUCACAGACAUUGUGGGUUUUUUUGUUUGUUUGUUUUUUUGAGAUGAGGUCUUGCUCUGUCUCCCAGGCUGGCGUGCAGUGGCAUGAUCUUGGCUCACUGUAACCUCCACCUACCAGGCUCCGGAAAUCCUCCCACCUCAGCCUAGCAAGGUCUUAACGCUCUUCAAUUCUGUGAAGGCUGAGAGAGGUAAGGAAACCACAGGAGAAAAGUUGUUUAGCUCACUGGGCAUCUUUAAGAAGGUUACCUUGAAUGAUCAGUUAAUUCAUCUCUAGGUGAGAACCGCGUCACGUUUGAGAAGCGCUGAUGGCUUCCUGCAGGACGGGAACGGACUGUGUUCCUUUAGCUCGCACGGCUCCUCUCCUGAGUGUGAAUUUCGGUGCCUGUUGCUCCUUUACUAUAAAUCAACCUUGUGUUUUAAGGCAGCCGUCCCCAACCAUUUUGGUACCAGUUUCAUGGGAGACAAUUUUCCCACGUACUGUGGGAUGAGGGUGGGGUUGGGGGGAUGGUUUUGGGAUGAAACUGUUCCACCUCGUAUGCUCAGGCAUUAGUUAGAUUCUCAUAAGGAGCACGCAACCUGGAUCCCUCUCACACGCACAGCUCACGACAGGGUUCAUGCUCCUAUGAGAUCGAAUGCCGCCGCCGAUCCGACGGGAGGCUGUGCGGCCCAGUUCCUGACAGGCCACGGACCA